GCCCGGUUAGCUCAGUUGGUAGAGCAUCAGACUGUUAAUCUGAGGGCCAUGGGUUCGAGUCCUUUAUCGGGCU
rnacentral:tRNA from 1 species